AGGAUUGCACUAGUUUCCCGGCAGUCGAUCACUCACUCAACCUGGGUGUGAUGCUUAUUUGAAUCAUCACAACCUCCUUGAGUGAGCGACCGAUUGAUGGCGGGAUGUCUACAGAAGGA
rnacentral:precursor_RNA from 11 species